rnacentral:rRNA from 1 species
CCUACGGGUGGCAGCAGUGGGGAAUAUUGCACAAUGGGGGGAACCCUGAUGCAGCGACGCCGCGUGGGUGAAGGAGCACCUCGGUGCGUAAAGCCCUAUCGGCAGGGAAGAAAGGCGGGCGGGGCCCGUCUGGACGGUACCUGACUAAGAAGCCCCGGCUAACUACGUGCCAGCAGCCGCGGUAAUACGGAGGGGGCAAGCGUUAUCCGGAUUCAAUGGGUGUAAAGGGAGCGUAGACGGCGACGCAAGUCUGGAGUGAAAGCCCGGGGCCCAACCCCGGGACUGCUCUGGAAACUGCGGGGCUGGAGUACGGGAGGGGCAGGCGGAAUUCCUGGUGUAGCGGUGAAAUGCGUAGAUAUCAGGAGGAACACCGGCGGCGAAGGCGGCCUGCUGGACCGUGACUGACGUUGAGGCUCGAGAGCGUGGGGAGCAAACAGGAUUAGAUACCCCAGUAGUC